rnacentral:lncRNA from 1 species
GGAUAUUAGUUGCUGCACGAGGAUCCUUCCUGUGGCCUGUCUUGCUGUAUCUCACUGUUCGCUGAAUCCAGGGUAGGCAGGAUAUGAGCAGGGAAGCUGGAAUUGUGAAAACUCAAGGAGCCGUAGGAACUGCAGGCAUGUGUAUUCUCUCCUGACUGGCACAGCGGCUAUGGCAGCAGCAGACAUGCUGCAUUCUCCUCUUGUGGUUGACCAGUGGGCACAGCCGUGGAGCAAGAGCUUUUUCAGGCUCCGGGAUAAGAAACAGCAGAAGCCUCAACAGGAGACUGCAAAUUCUUGGCUAUUUAAUUGGAGCGUUUUGCUGCUCUUGAAACCAGCUGGAGAGAAGGAGCCAGCGAAGAGCUUGAAGAGCUGGUCUUUGAGUCAGAGCUAAGUAUAGCAUAGCCAAGUGCUUCAUCUCCCCACUCACCAUAUCGCUGUGGAUUUUGAAGGAGGUUGGCUCUGGGGAGAAAAUAUUUAAGGCUGGAGAAAUAGAGUUUUCUUCAGUUUGUCUUCUGUGUAAAUAAGAGGGAUGCAAAGCACAAAAGUUACACUGGUUCUUAUUGAUUAAUGUGCUAACAAGUUAGACAGUUUUUCAGCUGUCCAGCCUCGCCUCUUCUCACGGCAGCUGUGCGCGCGCUGGGGGGCCACUGCAGGGAGGCCAUGCCCGAGGCAACCAAGCUCCCAUCCUGGCCCCUGGUUCCCAGGAUGCACCUCUUUCUCUGGGUAUCGUUGGCAUCUUCUUCAGGCUGUCUCUGUAUCCUGUCUUUCCUCAUCCACGUCUCUCUUUCUUUGAACACUCCAUGGGUCUUUCCCUCUUGCUGUGUUUUCACUUGAGAUCCCACACUGAACACCUAGACCCAGAGCUCAAGGCGUUUGUAAUCUGGAUUUUCCAGAGUGUUCAGUGUCUGCCAGUGGCUGGUGAGGCUGGUGGCCGUCAGAUCUGCACUGGUUGCUGUCACCCCGAGGAUUUGAGAAGAAAAGGGAAGCAGUGCUUUUGGUGACCUAUGUUCUCAAGAAUAUAAAACCUUGGUGACUGCUUCAUGCCAGGCCGGGCGUCUCAACCCGAGGUCUGUAUGAUCUCAAGGGAGAUGAAUAGAGAGCAACUUUCUAAAUAUGUGUGUCUAUGUGCAUUUAGGGGAAAGUUUCAUAGUGUUCACUGAGUUCUCAAGGUUGGCCAGGAGCCAAAUCAUGUAUGAACAGCCAUCCUGUAAGUGUGGCCCCAGUAGGGAGGCUCAGGCACUAAAGGGUGGGUCAGAAUUUAGCUCAGAACUUGGACUCUAAGAGGUUCUCCUACUCCAUCAGAAGCUUUAUUUACCUUUGAAGAGCAGCAGUGAAGAAAGAAACCAAUAGUUAAUUUGACCCUUCAAAUCUAUCUUUAAUAAAAGAUCAUUUCCUUUGUACUUGGUCUUGUUUGGGGAUUGAUUUGCAAUUAUUAGACUUUAUUAUGUACUUGAAGGAGCAGAUAGAGGAAGAAUGAGGUUAUUAUUGCUUUAUCCUUUGAUAUAUCCUAAAACUGUAGAGUUGGAAGGGAGCAGAAAGUUCAUGUUGUCCACCUGAAAGCCCCAACCCUGUUGCCUCGUCCAGAAUCUUCUCUAUGCCUCUCCCAUCAAAUGGCUAUUUAGCCUCUUGCAGGGAGAGAGAAUGUUCUGUUCACUUUCCAUUCAUCCAUUCAACUGCGCAUUCUCAUAUGCCGUGUACUCUGCUAGGUUCUGGGAAGAUGACAAAUAACAGCCUUGGUGGCCGUUAAGGAGCUUACAGUCCAGCAAUCUGGAGAGGCAGACAUUGAAUAGUGAUGAAGAACGUUAGAGCAGGGACAGCUCUGAGGCUAAUGGGGAUCGCUCUGCUCUGUGGGUGGUGGUGCUUAUAGAAGGCAUGUCCAAAGAAAGUAGUAGCCAAGCUGAGCUGAGAGGGAAGGGGGAGCUGGGAAGAUGGAGGAAGAUUGGGUGGAGGGAGGGCUGUAGGCAAAAGGAGCGGCACAGCCAAGGAUCUAAGAAUGAAAGAGAAGAAGCGAGGCUCAGUGGAGAACGUGAGAGGCCAUGAUUGGAGCAGAAAAAGAGAAUACACAGAAUAAAUAAACAGAGUGGUUUCCAUGGCAACCUGCUUUUCUUUAGACAAGUCUGAGUGCGAAAGUUUUCCCUGACCUUUCUACUUACAGCCUUCUGAUGCUCCUAGGCAGAGAAGCAUCUUCAUGGGAUUUAUGAAGACAAACAGACAUCCCAGCCAUGAAUUUUCUCCUCCACUUCCUUAUAUUGGACAUAACUUUAACACAAAAGAAACAAGUUUUGGUUCUGCUGUACCCUUGCUAUGACCGCCACCUAGAAUAUUAUUUUGGACCCAUCCACUCAGCCCAAAGGUUUGUAUAUGUUCACCUACCCCUUCAGACUGUGUGCUUCUGAAGGAUGGGGACCA